UACGAGCGGUCCAAACGUUAUUCGGAAUCACUGGGCUUACAGAGUUCGUAGGCGGCUCUACAAGUGAGGUGUGAAAGCCCUCGGCUCAACCGAGGAACUGCGCUUCAAACUGUAAAGCUAGAGGGAGAUAGAGGUGAGCGGAACUGAUGGUGGAGCGGUGAAAUGCGUUGAUAUCAUCAGGAACACCGGAGGCGAAGGCGGCUCACUGGGUCUCUUCUGACGCUGAGGAACGAAAGCUAGGGGAGCAAACGGG
rnacentral:rRNA from 1 species